rnacentral:tRNA from 1 species
GGAGAGGUACCCGAAGUGGCCCAACGGGGACCUGGUGGCUGCGCCGCCGGUCGGGUCUCGGCCCGCGCAGGUUCGAAUCCUGCCCUCUCCG